UCCGCAGGCGGUCAAUUAAGUCAGAGGUGAAAUCCCAUAGCUUAACUAUGGAACUGCCUUUGAUACUGGUUGACUUGAGUUAUACGGAAGUAGAUAGAAUAAGUAGUGUAGCGGUGAAAUGCAUAGAUAUUACUUAGAAUACCGAUUGCGAAGGCAGUCUACUACGUAUAUACUGACGCUCAUGGACGAAAGCGUGGGGAGCGAACA
rnacentral:rRNA from 1 species